AGCGAACGCUGGCGGCAGGCUUAACACAUGCAAGUCGAGCGGGCAUAGCAAUAUGUCAGCGGCAGACGGGUGAGUAACGCGUGGGAACGUACCUUUUGGUUCGGAACAACGCAGGCAAACUUGUGCUAAUACCGGAUAAGCCCUUACGGGGAAAAAUUUAUCGCCGAAAGAUCGGCCCGCGUCUGAUUAGCUAGUUGGUGAGGUAAUGGCUCACCAAGGCGACGAUAAGUAGCUGGUCUGAGAGGAUGAUCAGCCACAUGGGGACUGAGACACGCCCCAAACUCCUACGGGAGGCAGCCGUGGGGAAUAUUGGACAAUGGGCGCAAGCCUGAUCCAGCCAUGCCGCGUGAGUGAUGAAGGCCCUAGGGUUGUAAAGCUCUUUUGUGCGGGAAGAUAAUGACGGUACCGCAAGAAUAAGCCCCGGCUAACUUCGUGCCAGCCGCCGCGGUAAUAC
rnacentral:rRNA from 1 species